rnacentral:miRNA from 1 species
UAAUUAGUAUUAUGAUGAUGAUGAUGAUGAUCAUCAUCAUCAUUAUCAUCUUUU